ACGCUCGACACCUACGGGAGUCAGCAGUGGGGGAUAUUGCACAAUGGGGGGAACCCUGAUGCAGCAACGCCGCGUGAGGGAAGAAGGUUUUCGGAUUGUAAACCUCUGUCUUUGGUGACGAUAAUGACGGUAGCCAAGGAGGAAGCUCCGGCUAACUACGUGCCACAGCCGCGGUAAUCUGAGCGGGCUGGCAAGGC
rnacentral:rRNA from 1 species